rnacentral:rRNA from 1 species
UCAUAUGCUUGUCUCAAAGAUUAAGCCAUGCAUGUCUAAGUACAUGCCGCAUUAAGGUGAAACCGCGAAUGGCUCAUUAAAUCAGUUAUGGUUCCUUAGAUCGUACAAAUCCUACUUGGAUAACUGUGGUAAUUCUAGAGCUAAUACAUGCCGAUAACGGUCCGAUCCCUCGCGGGAAACGGCCGCUUUUAUUAGAACAAGACCAAUACGGGCAAACUCGAGCUUGGUUUCGGCCUUGCGAGAGACCCGUCUCAAAAAAACUUGGUGAAUCUGGAUAACUUUGUGCUGAUCGCACGGCCCUAGCGCCGGCGACGCAUCUUUCAAAUGUCUGACUUAUCAACUGUCGAUGGUAGGUUAUGCGCCUACCAUGGUUGUAACGGGUAACGGAGAAUCAGGGUUCGAUUCCGGAGAGGGAGCCUGAGAAACGGCUACCACAUCCAAGGAAGGCAGCAGGCACGCAAAUUACCCACUCCCAGCACGGGGAGGUAGUGACGAAAAAUAACAAUACGGGACUCUUCCGAGGCCUCGUAAUUGGAAUGAGCACAUUUUAAAACCUUUAGCGAGGAUCUAUUGGAGGGCAAGUCUGGUGCCAGCAGCCGCGGUAAUUCCAGCUCCAAUAGCGUAUAUUAAAGUUGUUGCGGUUAAAAAGCUCGUAGUUGGAUCUCGGUGCCGGACCGACGGUCCGCCACUCGUUUUGGCGGUACACUGUCGGCCCCGGUAGCCAUUUACCCGCCGGCCUUGUCCCUCGAUGCUCUUAACCGAGUGUCGUGCGGCGACCGGAACGUAUACUUUGAACAAAUUAGAGUGCUCAAAGCAGGCGCAGUCCCCGCCCGUAUAGCCCAGCAUGGAAUAUUGGAAUAGGACCUCGGUUCUAUUUUGUUGGUUCUUUCGGAACCCGAGGUAAUGAUUAAUAGGGACGGACGGGGGCAUUCGUAUUGCGGCGCUAGAGGUGAAAUUCUUGGACCGCCGCAAGACGAACUACUGCGAAAGCAUUUGCCAAGAAUGUUUUCAUUAAUCAAGAACGAAAGUUAGAGGUUCGAAGGCGAUCAGAUACCGCCCUAGUUCUAACCAUAAACGAUGCCAACCAGCGAUCCGCCGGAGUUCCUCCGAUGACUCGGCGGGCAGCUUCUGGGAAACCUAAAGUUUUUGGGUUCCGGGGGAAGUAUGGUUGCAAAGCUGAAACUUAAAGGAAUUGACGGAAGGGCACCACCAGGAGUGGAGCCUGCGGCUUAAUUUGACUCAACACGGGGAAACUCACCCGGCCCGGACACUGGAAGGAUUGACAGAUUGAGAGCUCUUUCUUGAUUCGGUGGUUGGUGGUGCAUGGCCGUUCUUAGUUGGUGGAUUUUUACAUGAUCUGUCUGGUUGAUUCCGAUAACGAACGAGACUCUAGCCUGCUAAAUAGCUGAUCCAUACUAUCGGUGCCGCCGUUACCUCGCCUUCGCGACCCGGCGCGUCUCCGAGUCGUUUCUUACGGUCCCGGCAUUGGUCUGGAGGUGCUUUGACUGCGGUGUUCGUUCUCAUGAGGGCGUGUGCUUUCUCUUUCCUUUCGGGGUUGGGAGAGUUACUGUUCUUGUGGGAUGGCAUCGUACGUUUUACCCGAUAGCCAUGUUCGGAUCAACCGUCUUUUUCGGCUUGGGCCAAAGGCGAUUGUCGGUGAUGUUGGUGAGAGUCGGCCUCCGGAGUGGAUCACUCGCUUCUUAGAGGGACAAGCGGCGUAUAGCCGCACGAAAGUGAGCAAUAACAGGUCUGUGAUGCCCUUAGAUGUCCGGGGCCGCACGCGCGCUACAAUGAAGAGUUAAGCAGGUUGCUUGCCCUUGUCCGAGAGGACCGGGUAACCCUGUGAAUUCCUUUCAUGGUUGGGAUCGGGGAAUGAAACCAACCCCGUGAACUAGGAAUUCCUAGUAUACGCGAGUCACUAACUCGCGUAGACUACGUCCCUGCCCUUUGUACACACCGCCCGUCGCUACUACCGAUUGAAUGAUUUAGCGAGAUCUUCGGACUGGCGAUUGCGGCGGCUGUCACGAGUCGCUGCGAUGUGCCGGGAAGAUGAGCAAACUUGAUCAUUUAGAGGAAGUAAAAGUCGUAACAAGG